rnacentral:pre_miRNA from 1 species
GGCUGUGAAUGGCUAGAGGCAUCAAGGACAUCCAUACAUACGGUUGCCCUUGAACCGUUUCUACCAUUCAUAAUCCU